UCACCAUUUAGCCCCAAUCUUUCUUACUUAUACAUGUCGGGGGCGUAGAGCCGUAGCAGGCACACCCGGACUUCCAUAAUCAGUCAUAGUGCCAGGGGCGUAGAGCCGUAGCAGGCACACCUGGACUCACAUAGGCUAUCAUGACAUACAAGGGCUAAUGGAUCAUUCAACAUUCAUCCACAUCAACAACAAAGUAUGCAAUGCAACAUAUUCGUGAAUUCUAAUGCAAACAACCUAAUAUUGCAUGGCAUAAUGAUGCAUGGGCAAUGCUUUAUGAUUCAUUCAUUUAUUCAUUUACUUUAAAGCUUAAGGGGUUGUUCCACUCACAUGGUAACUGAAGCUUUAACAACGAGCUCUGAACGACUAUCUCACAAUCGGGGGUCUCGGUUCCUCGGGUCCGAACCUACACAGGUGGACUCAAAUGAGGCACCAAACAUACAUGAACAUGACUCUAAAGUACUCCCCAAAAACCCCCUAAAACAUCCUGAAAACAUCACAUGAAACAUGCAAGAAAUGGCUGAACAGGGCACUUUCGGCGGCACCUUCGGCGGCCGAAAGUCCUGGACAGAGACGAAACUCAGGUAGGUUCGGCGGCACCUU
rnacentral:lncRNA from 1 species